CUCGCAAUAACGCAAACGCAGGAGGCGCGCGAUUGGCUGCGGCAUGCUGCGUCACCAGCCGGCUUUGGGGUCUCGGCUGGGUCGCACGCCCGCCCACUUCCGGGAUCUCGAAGAAGUUGAGCUUCGGGGUUGCGGUGGUGGGGCGAGCUGCCCGCGCUCCCGGGACCGAGGCGGGCCUGCAGACCGCCCGCCGCCCCCCAGGACCCGGCUCGUCGACCCCUAAGACCGCCCGCCACCCCCAGGUCCACCUGCCGGAGCAGGCGGUGUGUUCUCUGGGCCGCAGGCGAGGAGAGGGGCCAGCUGGGUUGGUGCACUUGCCAUUUGUAUCACUGCUUAGUGGAAGUUCCAGAAACACUUUAGAAACAACCCUGGAUCCAGCACCCUCCCAAAUGAUUGAUGGAGAGAUGCUUUCAAGCCCAUCACAUGUUGUAUCGUAAUCGUAAUCCCAUCUGUCUCCCUGACCACACUGUGAGAUCUCCAAGGGAGUGCCUUUCUUACUGACAUUGGAAUUUCCACGGCUUUAUCAAUGCCUAACACACAAUAGAAGCGUCUUAGGAUCCACCUUCCGCUCGCUUUGUGUGUUACCCUGCGCUACGCCACAUGACGGCUACUGGUCGACAGCAGUUUGAGGAGCUUCUAACGGCACUAAACUCGCACCGAACGUUCAAAACCAGACCACCAGGGGCUUCCCUGGUGGCGCAGUGGAUAAGAAUCCGCCUGCCAAUGCAGGCGACACGGGUUCGAGCCCUGGUCCGCGAAGAUCCCACAUGCCG